rnacentral:rRNA from 1 species
CAGUAGCCGCGGUAAUACGAAGGGGGCUAGCGUUGUUCGGAAUUACUGGGCGUAAAGGGCGCGUAGGCGGCCAUUCAAGUUAGAUGUGAAAGCCCUGGGCUCAACCUAGGAAUUGCAUUUGAUACUGUUUGGCUUGAGUUCGGGAGAGGUGAGUGGAAUUCCCAGUGUAGAGGUGAAAUUCGUAGAUAUUGGGAAGAACACCAGUGGCGAAGGCGGCUCACUGGACCGCCACUGACGCUGAGGCGCGAAAGCGUGGGGAGCAAACAGGAUUAGAUACCCGCGUAGUCCCUGUCUCUUAUAC